rnacentral:rRNA from 1 species
AGUUCGUUAUGGCUCAGAUUGAACGCUGGCGGGAUGCUUUACACAUGCAAGUCGAACGGCAGCACGGACUUCCGGUCUGGUGGCGAGUGGCGAACGGGUGAGUAAUGUAUCGGAACGUGCCUAGUAGCGGGGAUAACUACGCGAAAGCGUAGCUAAUACCGCAUACGCCCUUCGGGAAAGCGGGGGACCUUCGGGCCUCGCACUAUUGAAGCGGCCGAUAUCGGAUUAGCUAGUUGGUGGGGUAACGGCUCACCAAGGCGACGAUCCGUAGCUGGUUUGAGAGGACGACCAGCCACACUGGGACUGAGACACGGCCAGACUCCUACGGGAGGCAGCAGUGGGGAAUUUUGGACAAUGGGGAAACCUGAUCAGCCAUCCCGCGUGCGAUGAAGGCCUUCGGGUUGUAAGCACUUUUGGCAGGAAAGAAACGGCACGGGAUAAUACCCCGUGCCCUGUGACAGCUACCUGCAGAAUAAGCACCGGCUAACUACGUGCCAGCAGCCGCGGUAAUACGUAGGAGUGCAAGCGUUAAUCGGAAUUACUGGGCGUAAAGCGUGCGCAGGCGGUUCGGAAAGAAAAGAUGUGAAAUCCCAGAGCUUAACUUUGGAACUGCAUUUUUAACUGCAAGGCUAGAGUGUGUCAGAGGGAGGUGGAAUUCCGCGUGUAGCAGUGAAAUGCGUAGAUAUGCGGAGGAACACCGAUGGCGAAGGCAGCCUCCUGGGAUAACACUGACGCUCAUGCACGAAAGCGUGGGGAGCAAACAGGAUUAGAUACCUUGGUAGUCCCGCCCUAAACGAUGUCAACUAGCUGUUGGGGCCUUCGGGCCUUGGUAGCGCAGCUAACGCGUGAAGUUGACCGCCUGGGGAAGUACGGUCGCAAGAUUAAAACUCAAAGGAAUUGACGGGGACCCGCACAAGCGGUGGAUGAUGUGGAUUAAUUCGAUGCAACGCGAGAAAAAGGCACCUACCCGCUUGACGCUGUCUGGAGACCCCGAGAUUUACGGGAGUGCUCGCAAGAGAACCGGAACACAGGUGCUGCAUGGCUGUCGUCAGCUCAUGUCGUGAGAUGUUGGGUUAAGUCCUGGCGAGCGCAACCCUUGUCAUUGAAUUGCUACGAGGCACUCUAAUGAGACUGCCGGUGACAAACCGGAGGAAGGUGGGGAUGACGUCAAGUCCUCAUGGCCCCUAUGGGUAGGGCUUCACGUCACACAAUGGUCGGGACAGAGGGGUCGCCAACCCGCGAGGAGCCAAUCCCAGAAACCCGAUCGUAGUCCGGAUCGCAGUCUGCAGCUCGACUGCGUGAAGUCGGAAUCGCUAGUAAUCGCGGAUCAGCAUGUCGCGGUGAAUACGUUCCCGGGUCUUGCACCGCCCGUCACACCAUGGGAGUGGGUUUUGCAGAAGUAGUUAGCCUAACCGUAAGGAGGGCGAUUACCACGGUAGGAUUCAUGACUGGGGUGAAGUCGUAACAAGGUAGCCCUGUUACUA